GCUUUUGAUCAGAACCUGUCUCCUAUAUGCAUAUCUAUCAGAAUUAAAUAGGUGGUCAAAAACUGUCGACAAACUAAUGUAUGGGCCUGGUCGUAAAGUGCAGUCUAAAUUUCCAUUGUAGGGACCGUACAACUCUCGUCCUUGCCAGUACGUGUGCGUGAUCCAGGCAAUGUCAAGUACGCCCACCGCUUACUAUUGCUAAUAUUCACCCUUAACAUCCGCUAGCCCAGUCCGUAACAAUGCAAGAUAACUGCCACCAUUAACAGUCUACGAUUUCAGUCUGUAAGCAGAAUUAAAUUGAGUGCAUUCAACAACAACACAACAGAAAACGAAACGAAACGAAACCAAAAGUAAAUGCGAAAUACUACAAAAAUCUGUUACAAGUUCGAAUAAACCCGCAGCAAAGAUACUCCGAAAAUGAGGCGCACUCUUUGGCACAUGCUCACGGCCCAGCUCCUGCUCCUGGUACUCUGUUCGCUGCUCUCUCUCUGCUCCGGCGGCAAUAUGCAUCCUUUGAAAGUGGGCAAAAACUAUGCGUCGCUGCACAACCAGCCCAAGGACUUUCGCUCUUUAGUGAUGGAUAUUAGCAAGUUUGUUCUCACUAUUGUGAGCAGAACGCGUUGAGUCACGUUUUUUUUUGUUUAUUGUUAAUUUUUUUUGAGCACGUAUUCCUUAUUUAUAGAAAGCAAAAGCUUUUUCCUCCAUCUAAUCUGUCCAAAGAUCUGACUAGUACCAUAUCUAUUACUAAGCUGGCGUCGAGAUUUGAAUUCCAAUCUGAGUCCUGCCCCCCAUUCAAUUCAGAGUUCCAAAAUUCUCCAUUAAAGACCGACAGAAAGGCCAGCGACCAGCAGAUCAGUGCAGAGACCGACAAUCAUUGCCAAAGCAACGCAAAGCCUGGCCUCGAACUGAAUUUACAAUAAAAAUUCUUAAUUCUUGGUACAAAAAUUUCUGUAUUUAGCUGAUGAAAAUAAUUU
rnacentral:sRNA from 1 species